rnacentral:snRNA from 9 species
AGCCAUGUGAUAAGUACAAAGCGAACUAUUCUUUCGCCUUUUACUAAAGAAUACCGUGUACUUUUCACUAACAGUGGCAUACGAUAAUUUUUGAAUGAGCUCUCAUGUUUGAGAGCUCU